CUGUGCAUACUGCAGCUGGGCUAAUGAGAGAAAUCAGAAAAGUAGCUUUGUGGAUUGGGAGCAUGGCCAAAUUGCAGGGAUCUCCUACAGUCGAUGAUUUCUCCCUCUUUUUUCAUUUUUUUAAUGUCACCAUACCAGAGCAGUGGCAUAGGCUGCCUUUCAUGUUACCUGAGACAUCAAAGGGAAGUACUGAGAACCUAACUUACUGUUUUCCACUGACACUCAUGCCUAAUGAGUACAACAUGCUGCAGAAACAGCAUCCCUGUGCACAAGUGUCACGCUAGCCUUUGUUGCAUUAGAGAUUCUAGAUUACAGCUUUCAAGCUCUUAGAAACUUUGAGCCUAAGUCUAUUCACAUCUAGCAACAUGGUGACAUGCGCACGCCUUGGACCAUGGACUGGUUCUGCUCCUGAGCUCACCAGGUGAUGGCAUCCAUUAGGACCCAUAACAGGAGGCUGUAGGUGGGGGCAGCCGUGCCUGGCAGUAUAUUCCUCCAUGCACCCAACUGCCUUGUUUCCCAUGGCGUGUUAGGGGAGAAGCUUCUGCCCGAACAGUCACACAACAUUCAAGUUGUUGCACACACACUACCUGAGACUUUAAUUGCUGGAACAGGAGUCCCUCUGCAGGAGGUGGCUCCAGUGAACUGACAGGCAAGCUGAUAGGAAAUGAUUUCCCCAUGGGACAGAGCCCCAGAGCCCAGAGUGGACUUUCCACACCAUUUCACAGCUAUCCAGGAUAAGAACAGGCAUCAAGCUACAGCAAGGUUCAACAGGAAGAAAGAGGUUCUCCUUCAAAUGUCUUCUUUGAGUUAAUUUCCAGGGAUGUGACAACACUAACAACUACAGCCUGUUCAAAAAGCAAAUAGGGCAAUACUGCAUUGCAAUGCCACCUCCUCCCUCCUUCCCUCACAGGCACCACCUCUGAUGAAAUACCUCAGCUCUGAUCUGGGGGAACAUACUGGAGAUGAAGCCACUAAAGCCACUACCCAGAAGAACACUUAAGCAUUUGUCAUUUACUGUUGCAGUUCCUGUCUUUUAAGUGUGCAUGUUCCAAAAUGGAGUCCACACAGCUGCAGAACUCAACAUCUGCAGCAGCAUUCACACCCAGCAUGCAGCUGUGCAGCCACCACAGUAG